GCUCUGCGGUUUAACCCACAGCGCCACCCAUGUCCCUAUGUUAGUAGAGUAUGAGACUCUUAAUUUCAGAGUUGUGGGUUCGAGCCCCACACUGGGCA